AAGACAAGAUUUCAUCCCUCAAAAAGUUUUCCAAGUUCCACCGCUCGGAAAAAUAUAUUCAUUUUGGUGAAAUCUAAGUGUUGAGUUCGCUCUUCACAAGACUAGAUUUCAUCCCUCAAGGAUUUUUCCAAGUUUCACCUCUUGAAAAAAUGUAUUCAUUUUAGCGAAAUCUAAGUGUUGAGUUCGCUCUUCACAAGACUAUAUUUCAUCCCUCAAAGAUUUUUCCAAGUUCCACCUCUUGGAAAAAUAUAUUCAUUUCGGUGAAAUCUAAGUGUUGAGUUCGCGCUUCACAAGACUAGAUUUCAUCCGUCAAGGAUUUUUCCAAGUUCCACUUCUU
rnacentral:sRNA from 1 species